GAAAGGAGGCUCUUCGCUCCCAGUGCCCUCCGAGCUUUUGAUUUGGAGUCGAUCUCUUCUCACGUUGUUGGAUUUUAUUUGUUCAGUUUGUUUUGUGGCAGGAAUUUGAUUUUGCCUUUUUGUGUUUUUGCGCUUUGUCAGGAUACCGCCGGCGGCGGUGUGCUGUACGCCGGGGCGUCGGCUCGGUCGGCCGGUGCGGCUCCGUGUGCAGCUACCGGCGGUGACAGGUGCUGUGGCCGGAGUGGCCCCGCGCGGCCAGAGGGCCGGUUCGGCAAGCUCGGCGGCCGUCGGGCGGAUCCAGACUGGAUCAGGCAGCCAGCGCUGUCGCGCAGGUGCUGCAGAGCAGCGGCAACGGCGGCGCGCGCAGCGAGGCAAGCGCACGCGCGGCGGCGGCGCGCGUGCUUGCAACAGCCAGCGCACGCGAGGAGCCAGCGGCGGCUCUGCUCGCUGCCAGCAGCGCAAGGCGACGCACUGCAGUGGGCUGCAGCGGCCCACAGGCGGCCCAGUCCAGCGAGCCAGCCCAGCCGCAGAUCGGCCAGCAGGCCAGUGCACGGGCGCGAGGCCCAACAGCAGCUCAGGCGGGUGGCCAUUGAGGCAGCCUAGCAGGCUGGUGGAUGGCACAAGGCCCACGUGCGAGGAGAACACAGUGAGCUCGUUUGAUCUGCUUUCUUUUCUCCUCUCACAUUAAUUUAUUUCCUGCUCGUCUGUUUAAGCUAAUUAUUUAGCUCUUGCUCUUACUAUUGUCUCGUGGAAAUAUUCUUGCUUAAUUGAAUUAUAUUAAUUAGUAUUUCAUACUGCUAAUUGGUUCUUAGAUCUGUGCAUGCUUGAUCAAAGAGAGCUUUAGUUCUUUUGUGGUGAUUAGUGUUAAUCUUUUUGACGAGCCUCUUGAUCAGCUUUGUGUUAAGCUUUUCUUCCACCUAUUUUGAGCUGUGCUAUUCAUUGAUAAUCAUUGCAUGCUUAGUUAAGUAAAUGCUUUUUGGCACUUGAUAAUUGUUGCUUCCGCUUUGCGUUGCAUCUUGCUCGAGUAAAUUGCUUUUCACUUGCUUCCGCUUUGUGUCGAGCUUUUCCUAACCGUUCCUAGAGUGAACUUAUCAUGUGUUGGCUAGUGUCACCUUAGCGGUUAAAAGAUAGGUGCAUCGAGAUUGAAUUCGGAACAUAAGCUUUAUUCUCUUGGAGAACUUUUAAAGGCUUCCAUUCACUCCUUCUCUGGUCGCCUGUUCGGUCCUUCAGAAAGAUUAGUGACCUGAAAACGACAAGAUGGAAACGUGCAUACCAGAUAGGAAGGAACUGAUGUGCCGCAAGAUUGUCAAAAGUUGUUUUCCUGAAUCAAGCAUAAUCCUUUCAAACUUGAACCUUCACAAAUCCAUGCGCCAAACAUUCGGAAUUGAAGAGCAAUUUGCUUCUUCAACAAAAGUGCCAUGUUACCACGGAUAGGUUCUUUUUUCUGAAACAGUCAGGAACUUUGUCUGCGUCGUUUCCUGCAUUUCAAGUCUGAAAUGCCCAGGUCUUUCUGCCCAAAAUCCGAAACAAGCUGUAUGUUAUGACUUAUGACUGACAGACAAAGAGGUCCAA